rnacentral:misc_RNA from 1 species
UUUACUAACAUUAUUUGCAUUUCCUGUGACAAUGUCAGCUUUUCUUUCAUCAAGAAUUUGUUGCAUUGCUUUCAAUUGUUUAUCCGUCUCUGCUCUAUUCCUAGCAGCUUCACCACGAAGCUUCUCAUCCCUCUUCUCUUUGUAAUGAUCAUAGAAACCACCUCGACGCUCGGCGGGACGGCUCUGUUUUUUUCCAUUACUUGCUGCCAAGUUCCGAUAUUUG